UAAAACUUGCAACACUGAUAGAAUAAGAUCAGUUCAGCUGAGGCUCUCUCUUUGAAAGAGAAUAUACAACCUGUUGUAUAUUCUUUGCAUUGUUGGAAGCCAUGGCCAAAUUUCUGCAUCUCAAAUUUCCUGCGAUUUUCCUUGUGCUCUUAGCAGCUUACAAUCAUCAAUGUCAAGCUCAAUGCCCCAGGUUAACGCCAUCUAAUCCAGACUUUGGUUUAACUAUAUUUCGUACGAUCCUGAUGCGCCUGUGCUGAGACAAUUCACUACAGCCACGUAUUCUGACUGCGAUGGCGAAAGCGGUUUUGUAAACUUUGGAAACUCAGGAAGUCGUACAAGAGUAUGUAAUUUCAAUCCAGUCACUCUACAACCAUUUUGGACAGGAGAGGAGCCAACGUGUAGAUUUCUGCUGUGUGAGGCCGACGUUUUGGAAGAACUAUUCCCGCCGGCCAUCUUUAACAACAAACGAAGACCCCCCUACCAGUGGAUAUAGUGGUGGUACCCGUGCUGAGUAUACCUGUAGUCUUCCAAUGUUUGGCGUAUCUGGACAGUCAUUUGAUCUUUGCCAACAAAAUUUAGAAUUUGGUGUACUAAUUAGCGUUAAUUGGGACAUCCGGAAUCGAACUUGUGAAAGACAAUGUCCUAUACUCGACGGUGGUGCGGAUUUAAACUUCAGAGGCUUGUCAGGUGGUAUUUCAUAUGAUCCUGUGUCGAGAGUUCCGGGCACCAUUGCAAGAUAUCAGUGCCUCAAUAAUAUUGCUUUCAUUCCAAAUGGUACCUUGGAAAGGGAAUGCAUUGCAGAUCCUUUGAUUUCCGACACUCCAUUUUGGACCGAACCAGAACCAAAUUGCAUACCAAUUUGUCAGGAUCAUCGUCCUCUGGAAAAUGGAGUUAUCACAUAUGAUCCCAACGAGGAGUUCAGAUUUAUAGGGACUGUUGCCACCUACACAUGCAACGAGGGCUUCACAUACGUGGGAGUGGAUACUAGCGGCACAUGUUUGACCAGGGUAGUCGAGUUAGGAGGUGGAGAAUUUGUGGUUUUUAAUGUUUUCUCUCCACUGGCUACUAGUUGCAUUCGUAAGUUGUCAAUUAC